GACGAACGCUGGCGGCGUGCCUAAUACAUGCAAGUCGAGCGGACUUUCAAGAAGCUUGCUUUUUGAACGUUAGCGGCGGACGGGCGAGUAACACGUGGGCAACCUGCCUGCAAGACGGGGAUAACUCCGGGAAACCGGGGCUAAUACCGGAUAAUAUCUUCCUUCGCAUGGAGGAAGGUUGAAAGGCGGCGCUAGCUGCCGCUUGCAGAUGGUCCCGGGGCGCAUUAGGUGGUUGGUGAGGUAACGGCUCCCCAAGGCGACGAAGCGGAGCCGCCCGGGAGAGGUGGUCCGCCCCACUGGGACUGGGACCCGGCCCAGACUCCCUGCGGAAGGAGCAAGAGGGAAUCGUGCGGCAGGGGCGGAAGGCAGGACGAACAACGCCGGGGGAACGAAGAAGGGCGUCGGGUCGGAAAGCUCGGUUGUCAGGGAAGAAACAGAUCCGUACGAACAGGGCGGUACCUUGACGGUACCUGAUCAGAAAGCCACGGCUAACUACGUG
rnacentral:rRNA from 1 species